GUGCUAAGGUAGCAUAAUCACUUGUUUCUUAAUUGGUAGCUGGAAUGAACGGCUGAACUGGUUUAGUAAGUGUGUGUGUUUAAAUAGAAGCUUAAAGUCAAGGUAAGAAUUCUUUGAUAACUUAGGGGACGAUAAGACCCUAUAAGCUUGAUAAGCAUGAUUACGGUUUUGUUUUUCGAUUUAGCUUAUUUUACUGGGGCGGUACUAGUCUUUUAACUACUAGUUAACUUAGGAUCCUUAAAAUAUAGAUGAAACGUAAAAGUUACUUUAGGGGUAACAGUGCAAUAUCUUUGGAGAGAUCUUAUCGAUAAAUAUGUUUGCAACCUCGAUGUUGAAUUA
rnacentral:rRNA from 1 species